AAGCCUUGCCCACACAGGAGCAAGGAGGGACGAAGCUCUGCGAGUGCCAUGGCCCGGUGGAAGCCAGACGGAACCCAUUUGUGAUGUGCUGAGGUAUGGUUUGCAGAGCUCUCUGUAGGAAGUAGUCCAGCAGGGUGCCGAUGCAAACAUCUGACCUUCGGUUCCUGAUGAAUGCCUUCGUGCAAGGUGGCAUUGCGGUGCAGAACAGAAGAGAUCAGGAAGGGGAAACGUUGAGUGAAGAAGAAGAAAUCUUAGCUGUGCAAACCCUCCUCCAGGAGAAAGGACUUCAAGCACUGCUCUCUGCCCAACUUCAGUAUCACUGAGCUGAGUGGAGGGAAUACCCAUGCAUCAAUCUUUUCAGCAUCCUGGAGAUAUUGAUGUACUUGCCUAUCUGGUUUAGCUACACAUACAAGUUUCCACCAACAAGCAAAAUAAAACUCUGGAAUUACAGAAGUUCUGUGUUGUUUGAUGGGCAGGCCAGGAUUCUGAUAUUAAUUCAGUGAAAAAUACACCUUAAGCAUUCUUGUGACUCUCACUGGACUGUCAAGAUGUAUGGCAAGAGGUAACUGGACAGUAGGUCCAAAGUGUCUUUUUUCCAUAUUAGAUUUUUUGACAAUAAUUAAUAACCGUGAUAUUUGUUAAGCACGUAACAAAUGGGCCGGGGACUGUCAGUUCUUAAUAGAACAGUUGGAGAGUUCCAAAGUAGAUUCACUGUGAAAAUAUACCUUGUAAAAUUACUUGAAUCAAAAGUUUAAGAAUUGUCUUGGUUCUGAAACAUGCAGAAUAUUACUGGUAAUAAAUAGACAAGAUGAGG